UCGAACGCGAACGGGUUCUUCGGAACCUCAGUAGAGUGGCGCACGGGUGAGUAACGCGUAAGUAAUCUACCCUCGCAUUUGGGAUAACCCACCGAAAGGUGUGCUAAUACCGGAUACGUCUAGGAUAAUAUCUUUUUCCAAGAGAAAGGUGGCCUCUGAUUCAAGCUACUGUGCGGGGAUGAGCUUGCGUACCAUUAGCUAGUUGGUAGGGUAAUGGCCUACCAAGGCAACGAUGGUUAGCGGGUCUGAGAGGAUGAUCCGCCACACUGGAACUGAAACACGGACCAGACUCCUACGGGAGGCAGCAGUGAGGAAUAUUGCGCAAUGGGGGCAACCCUGACGCAGCGACGCCGCGUGGAUGAUGAAGGCCUUCGGGUUGUAAAAUCCUGUCAGAUGGGAAGAAGUGCUAUAUGCUUAAUAUGUGUAUAGUUUGACGGUACCAUCAAAGGAAGCACCGGCUAACUCCGUGCCAGCAGCCGCGGUAAUACGGAGGGUGCAAGCGUUGUUCGGAAUUACUGGGCGUAAAGCGCGCGUAGGUGGCUGUUUAAGUCAGAUGUGAAAGUCCACGGCUCAACCAUGGAAGUGCAUUUGAAACUGGACAGCUUGAGUACUGGAGGGGGUAGUGGAAUUCCCGGUGUAGAGGUGAAAUUCGUAGAUAUCGGGAGGAAUACCGGUGGCGAAGGCGACUACCUGGCCAG
rnacentral:rRNA from 1 species